rnacentral:lncRNA from 1 species
AAUUGUUGAUUAUUUUCUUAAUGAAUUAUUUAAUACCAAACAAGUACACAAUUUGUGAUAAAUAAUAUACGUAAAAGUAGAAUAUUAUUCUCUAAAAUUUGAAUCAAAUAUUUUAAGCAUAUUACUUAUAUAACAAAAAUACACCUAUGCUUUGAGGGUUGUAUACGUUCAUGGUCAAAAUGUAAUAGUGAAAUUGUUUUUGAAGUAGUUUCUCGCGUUUUUUUCUUUCUUAAGGGUAAUGAUCAAAUAACCCCCUACGUCUGGAAAUGUUUAUUGUUCGGGAGUGCAAUUUGUGUCUAUAGUCUUGGUCCAUGGUCCCCAAAUUUCACCGUAAAAAUAAGAGUGCCUAAUAAGCAGUUUUACGAAGGGAUAUAUUUCGACUGCAAACUUCUUGGGCAGAUAAGCAGUUCACUACACAUUAAGGAGAUUGCUUCGAGAAGACGGUGUGCUGCCAUUUUUGCUGUCCAUAAAUGGGAACGAUGUCUGAAGACUUGAGAUGACAUCCUUGGAUUCGAUGCACAAACUACUUACAGAUGUGAUGUUUGAGGUAGUCAGACAAAAAUUCUUAGAACCUAGGAUGUUAACAAUGGUGGAGAGGGUAAAUCAAAAAGGAAGCGUGGAGAAGAAAGGCCUCCAAAAAAUGCUUGUUUCGCGUGGUUAUGGAAAAGGGGUCGUUUCUGGAAAUAAUCGUCUAAUGAAUGAGAGAGAAUUGAAGUUCAAGUUGAUUGAACUGAAACAAUAUCUACAAUGGUGUUACUUUUGGUGGACUACAUUCUUGAUUUGCUGUUUUCGUCUUCACCUUACAACAUUAUGCUGUUAAUUUUCAACACAUGAAUGACUGCAAAAGGAGAUUUAUUUGAAUUCCACUGAAACAAAUUUUGUUUUGUUAUGGUAUUCCUUCUGGAUUUCGUUUGCUUUUCACACAUGCAAACUUGGGAAUGGUAGAGUCUACAGUUUAUUAAGAUCGACGUUGGAGAAGACAGAGAUGACCCCAUAGUUAA